UACGUAGGGUGCGAGCGUUGUCCGGAAUUAUUGGGCGUAAAGGGCUCGUAGGCGGUUUGUCGCGUCGGGAGUGAAAACACCGGGCUUAACUCGGUGCUUGCUUUCGAUACGGGCAGACUAGAGGUAUGCAGGGGAGAACGGAAUUCCUGGUGUAGCGGUGAAAUGCGCAGAUAUCAGGAGGAACACCGGUGGCGAAGGCGGGUCUCUGGGCCGAUACUGACGCUGAGGUGCGAAAGCGUGGGGAGCGAACAGG
rnacentral:rRNA from 1 species